rnacentral:rRNA from 1 species
UACGUAGGGUCCGAGCGUUGUUCGGAAUUACUGGGCGUAAAGCGUGCGCAGGCGGUUAUGUAAGACAGAUGUGAAAUGCCCGGGCUUAACCUGGGAACUGCAUUUGUGACUGCAUGGCUAGAGUUUGGCAGAGGGGGGUAGAAUUCCACGUGUAGCAGUGAAAUGCGUAGAUAUGUGGAGGAACACCGAUGGCGAAGGCAGCCCCCUGGGUCAAGACUGACGCUCAUGCACGAAAGCGUGGGGAGCAAACAGG